rnacentral:rRNA from 1 species
CCUACGGGCGGCAGCAGUGGGGAAUAUUGCGCAAUGGGCGAAAGCCUGACGCAGCGACGCCGCGUGAGGGAUGAAGGUCUUCGGAUCGUAAACCUCUGUCAGCAGGGAAGAACGGUCACUGUGCUAAUCAGCAGUGAAUUGACGGUACCUGCAAAGGAAGCACCGGCUAACUCCGUGCCAGCAGCCGCGGUAAUACGGAGGGUGCGAGCGUUAAUCGGAAUUACUGGGCGUAAAGCGCUCGUAGGCGGUAUGUCAAGUCAAGGGUGAAAUCCCCGCGCUCAACGUGGGAACUGCCUUUGAAACUGGCAAACUGGAGUGUUGGAGAGGAUAGUGGAAUUCCAGGUGUAGGAGUGAAAUGCGUAGAGAUCUGGAGGAACACCAGUGGCGAAGGCGACUAUCUGGCACAUAACUGACGCUGAGGAGCGAAAGCGUGGGUAGCAAACAGGAUUAGAUACCCUAGUAGUC